GACAGAGGGUGCAAACGUUGCUCGGAAUUACUGGGCGUAAAGCGCGUGUAGGCGGAUAUGCAAGUCGGAUGUGAAAUCCCUGGGCUCAACCCAGGAACUGCACUCGAAACUGCAUGCCUUGAGUAUCGGAGAGGAAAGCGGAAUUCCUGGUGUAGAGGUGAAAUUCGUAGAUAUCAGGAGAACACCGGUGGCGAAGGCGGCUUCUGGACGAUAACUGACGCUGAGACGCGAAAGCGUGGGGAGCAAACAGGAUUGAGAA
rnacentral:rRNA from 1 species